rnacentral:rRNA from 1 species
UAUUUAAACUAGGGAUUGAUACCCUAUUAUUCUAAUUUAAGGUAAAAAUACUGGAGAUUAAAUGUAAAUCAUUAAAUUUAAAUAAUUUGGCGGUAUCUUAGAAGGUUAGAGGAAUCUGUUGAGUAAAUGAUAAUCCACGAUGGGGAUGUCUUAAUAUAAUUUUUAUGUAUUGUUGUUUAAAUAUUAGUUUAUGAGGAUUUAAUAGAGAUUUAGAAUAAUAGAUUAAUUCAAAUCAAAAUGUAGAAUAAUUAAGUUUUAAUGGAUUACAUUUUAAUUUUAUAUCUGAUUUUUAAUUUUAAUUAUUAAGAUGAGGGAGGAUUUAAUAGUAAGGGUAUAUAAUAUUAUAAUUUGAAUUUUAUAUAAGAUAUGUACAAAUUGCCGGUUCCUUUU